GUGUUAGACACCUUAUUUAUAUAGGUUAGUUAUUUUAGUUAUUUAGCGACGCACCAUAGUAGACGCAUAUUGAACGGGACUAGUGACGUUUGGGAUAUGUUGGGUUAGAGACCGGAAAAUCAGUUAGCGUUAGAACAUUCCAGGGUAACGACGUGUUUAGUGACAGAGACUUCUACUGUGGCCUUUUAUCAUAAUAAAUAUAUAUUAACUUGUUCAUCAUCGUUGACUACAUCUCUUCACCUGUUACAAUCGAUGUGCCAGUUCUUGUUUGUGUUGUUGGUCAACUACACGUAAUACACCCGAACAAUUACACCCAAACGAUUGCAGAGUAAUUGGUUGACUUCAAGACAGCCUGAACUAGCAACAUCACAGUGGCGACCCCGAACCUCGAAGCCGGACCCUUGAUGAAGCCGAACAUCGAACCGGACCUCGAAGCAGAACGUUUACUCAGGUGAGGGUCGUGCACUCGAAGAUAUAAGAUUUCAUCGGAGUACGGCUGAACACAGCAGUAUCGCAGAGUGACUUUGUUCUAGAUCUACAUACAGUCGUCGCCUGUUUGAUCGCACGUUCAACGAGCCGUUAACUCAGGGUGACCUUCGUCAGGACAGUAAUCAUCGUAACGUCUGGUCUACUUAACCAGUAUAUUAUCAAAGCCUGAUCUUCAUAUGCUGAAUCGACCUACAACCAGAGAAACCGUUCGUUCAUAACGGGUGAGAGAUCGUUAGUGAACCUGUUGGACAUAUUUUUUCUUCGUCAUAGGAGCCACAUUGAGUAUCAAGUUUUACCUCGUCAGUUUCGAGAAGGACAGUUUGCCCGCUGUCAGAAGUAUUGUGAGUACUACAAGUUUGGUAGCUAACUAAAUCGAAAUCGCUCUGUCGUCUUACCCUUGGAGAGAUUCUUGUGGAGCAGUUUGCUCAUUGAACCGGUUGCUUGCCACGUUUAUAACGGUCACUGUGUUUAACCUUUGGAAGGUUAGUGAAGUAAUCUUUAUCAGUACUGAACAUUGAUAUAUCUAGUAUUCGUCGGUCUAGACCAUACCUAGACUUGUUAGCAGUGAAGUUGUGGAAACAGCUACAUCCACUUAAUUUCGUUGAAAACCGUUAAUCGUCUAACGGAACGUCGUCGGAGGUGACCUUGGUUUCACCUAGUCUACAUUGGACAGUUUGGUCUAUUGAAGCAGAGUACAACAGCAAACUUCGUCGUACUACCGGAAUAGCAGCAGAAGCAGUGAACUAUUUUAGAGAACCGUUAUUCGUCAGCCCAGAUCAAGUCAUCGUCAAGAAAGUCGUUAUUCGUCAGCCCAGAUCAAGUCAUCGUCAAGAAAUUCGUUAUUCGUCAGUCGUCCAGAUCAAGUUGUCGUCAAGAGACUGUUAUUUGUCAGUAAUCAUCUACACAAGUCAAGUCAUCGCUAGAAGAACCGUUAACCUAUUCGUCAGUAACUGUGUAUACAAAGUCGUCGGAACUACACAUACGGUCAUCAACAGUCGUCAAAGAAACUGGAACAUUUUGCUGUGGCAUAUCAGGACAUCUGUGGCAUUACGUGGGAUACUGGUAGCACCGGAGAACAGAGUCAGAACUGGAAGAGAGGCAGUGGAAUUUGUUGUGAUCUAGCAUAUUCGGGAGUCCGAACAAAGGGAUCUUUCUUAUCAAAAGCUAAGUGCCAUUUUUCUUAUUAGUAUAUGUUUAGAUUGCCCUUAGAAAUAGAUUUUGUCUAAAUUUGGUACGUUAGCCUGAGUAAAAUCAGGUGGUGCGCCUUAAAACCCGUCGGGGUAGAAGACGUAAUUUAGAUGAAAAGCUAUAUUAUACGUUUAGGAUUGUAAUUUGUUUUGUUUGUGUAAACGUCAUAUCCGUUGUUGCCUGGUUACUUCGUGACGUUAUCAUUGUGUGCCAUAUUGUCAUAUCCCAACCCAUAGCGAUAGUCUCAUUUUAAUUAUUUCAUUUGUUUAUAUUAUUUUAAAUUAUUUAUUUUUAUUAAUUUAAUUAGAUCUGUAUUUUUUUUCACUUAAUGAUAGAAAGUGCGGGUAGGAUUCUUUCAUUGUGAAUCAGACUAAAAUAAUUUUAGUUUGAGCGGUUAAAAUCAAUUAUGAUUUUGCCAUGAGAAUAAUGCCGAAACUGGCUAUGUAGUCAAACACUAUCGUCUGGCUAAAUUUAGAUCUGCAAAUUGUUGUACAUCUCUUUGGUACAAUUUAAUUAUCUAGACUCUACUUUGAAAUAUUAUUAAGUUGAAGAUGAAUGAAGAUUACUGCCAGUGAAGAACAUUUGAGAUGUGUAGGACAUGCCCAUAAGAUGCCACAUUUUCCUCCAUGAUGAACUGUGUAACAAUGAAGAUGAUUUUGGAAUGUUAUGAACUGUUAUGAACAUUGACAUGUAUAUGAGGAACUGUCAAGUCAAGAUGAAGAUGUCAAGAAGAAGAUGUCAAGAUUUUAUGUUUGUGGUCUUCCCCUUAAAUUGAAAAUGCCCUUGUAAGACUUGACAGUAGUGGAAAAAUAUUGACAUAUUUUUUUUUUCAAAGGGGGGAGGAAUCUGUUAGACACCUUAUUUAUAUAGGUUAGUUAUUUUAGUUAUUUAGCGACGCACCAUAGUAGACGCAUAUUGAACGGGACUAGUGACGUUUGGGAUAUGUUGGGUUAGAGACCGGAAAAUCAGUUAGCGUUAGAACAUUCCAGGGUAACGACGUGUUUAGUGACAGAGACUUCUACUGUGGCCUUUUAUCAUAAUAAAUAUAUAUUAACUUGUUCAUCAUCGUUGACUACAUCUCUUCACCUGUUACAAUCGAUGUGCCAGUUCUUGUUUGUGUUGUUGGUCAACUACACGUAAUACACCCGAACAAUUACACCCAAACGAUUGCAGAGUAAUUGGUUGACUUC